rnacentral:rRNA from 1 species
AUACGUAGGGGGCGAGCGUUGUCCGGAAUCAUUGGGCGUAAAGGGCGCGUAGGCGGAUAUUUAAGUCUGGUGUGAAAUUUAGGGGCUCAACCGCUAGAGUGCACCGGAAACUGGAUAUCUUGAGGACAGGAGAGGAAAGCGGAAUUCCACGUGUAGCGGUGAAAUGCGUAGAGAUGUGGAGGAACACCAGUGGCGAAGGCGGCUUUCUGGGCUGUAACUGACGCUGAGGCGCGAAAGCGUGGGGAGCAAACAGGAUUAGAUACCCUGGUAGUCCACGCCGUAAACGAUGAGUGCUAGGUGUAGAGGGUAUCGACCCCCUCUGUGCCGCAGUUAACGCAAUAAGUAUCCCGCCUGGGGAGUACGGCCGCAAGGUUGAA